rnacentral:rRNA from 1 species
AUACGGAGGAUCCAAGCGUUAUCCGGAUUUAUUGGGUUUAAAGGGUGCGCAGGCGGAAGAUUAAGUCGGCGGUGAAAUUUUGCAGCUCAACUGUAAAAGUGCCAUCGAUACUGGUUUUCUUGAGUGUGGAUGAAGUAGGCGGAAUUUGUGGUGUAGCGGUGAAAUGCAUAGAUAUCACGAGGAACUCCGAUUGCGCAGACAGCUUACUAGGCCAUAACUGACGCUCAGGCACGAAGGCGUGGGGAUCAAACAGGAUUAGAUACCCUGGUAGUCCACGCAGUAAACGAUGAUUACUCGCUGUUUGCGAUACACAGUAAGCGGCUUAGCGAAAGCGUUAAGUAAUCCACCUGGGGAGUACGUUCGCAAGAAUGAAACUCAAAUGAAUUGACGGGG